rnacentral:rRNA from 1 species
AUGGUGCUGCGGCGGGCGGCGGUGGAGUCCCCUAAGAAGGUGGCGGCUCUGGUCGACCUGGUUAACCUGCCGACGGCGCUGCGGGAGUUCGCCGGGGGCCGGUCCCAGAUGUCCCACCUCUCCUUCUUCCUCGGCGUCUGGUCACACAUCAAGAACAACAACCUCCAGGACCCGACCAACAGGAACAUAGUAAACUGCGAUGAGAAGCUGAAAACUGUGCUGUUGGGCAGGUCUAAGGUGGAGCUCUCGGAACUCCCAAUGCUUGUCAAGCUACAUUUCCCAAAAGUUUUCAAGUCGUAA